UACGAAGGGGCUAGCGUUGCUCGGAAUCACUGGGCGUAAAGCGCACGUAGGCGGCUUUUAAGUCAGAGGUGAAUCCUGGAGCUCACUCCAGAACUGCCUUUGAUACUGAGAGCUUGAGUCCGGGAGAGGUGAGUGGAACUGCGAGUGUAGAGGUGAAAUUCGUAGAUAUUCGCAAGAACACCAGUGGCGAAGGCGGCUCACUGGCCCGGUACUGACGCUGAGGUGCGAAAGCGUGGGAGCAACAGG
rnacentral:rRNA from 1 species